rnacentral:rRNA from 1 species
AUCUAUGGCCAUACCAUCCUGAAUGUGCAUGAUCUCAUCUGAUCCAGAGCUAAGCAGGGCCAGCUUUGGUUAGUACAUGAAUGGGAUAAAUAGUGUGGGCUGAAGGAUGUAAUAA